GUCAGACAUGACUGAGCAACUUUCACUUUUCACCUCUCCUCUGGCAGAUUGACUUAGGGAUCACUUCCUCUAUCUGAAGGUGAAGCCUUUACCUGUCCCGAUUCUUAGGUAUGCCAGCUGGGCCACCCACAAGGAAGGUCAGCCAGGGGACUGCAUAAACCCAGACAUGCAAAAGUGACUGCAAGGGGGAAAAAAGCAGCUGUGUCUCUCUUCCACAGGGGUGAGUGUCUGUGUCUGGCAGGUGGGCUUCUGAGUCUGGCGGCUGGGUUUCAGUGAGCUAUUUCUUACGGGAGGUGAAAAAACAGGUGUGAUGUUGAAUUUCCAAGAUAGGUUUCUCCAAAGACAAGCCUGGGUAAGAGUGACCCUAGCAGGGGAGGGGAGGCACCUGCAGUGGCUAGCACCCUGAAAGUUCCAGGCUCCUCUGUCCAUGGAAUUCUCCAGGCAAGAAUACUGGAGGGGUAGCCAUUCCUUUCUCCAGGGGAUCUUCCCAACCCAGAGAUUGAACCUAGGUCUCCUGCAUUACAGGCAAAUUCUUUACCAUCUGAGCCACUAGGGAAGCCUGAAAGUCGCAAGGGAUGGAGUAAAUCCAUUCAGCCUCUGUCACCCCCUCACCCAGCCCCUAGCCAUCAGAAGGCUGACCCUCUUUCCCCCAGACUUGUACUCUGCAAGCAGAAUGGGGUCCCUCUGUCACUCCCAUCCAGGUUGCAUGCCCUCCCUAUUUUUACCAGCUCACUAGGCUACUUGAAGCUAGUUCCACACUGUCUGCCGAUAGUCCCCCAGCCCCCAGGAAGGCCCCAUGUGAGACCCAAAUUUCAAAGCACUUCAGGCCCUCGGGAGGAAGAAAAGGAAAAGACUAAAUCAGUCUCCUCAAACUCUUAUUCCUGUCUCCUGCACCCAGGAAGACCAUCAGUGUCUGCUCAGGGUCCCCCUCCCUGCUCUGCAGCCUGGAGCUCUCUUCAGGCAGCUGACUGCAUCACAUGUUGGACUCAACUCCUUUAUUUCUCUUCUCAGGGAUGGCUGCCCUGUGUUGCCUGUUUUUCAGUGUCUGAAAACCAUUGUUUCAUAUACCUUGCCUGUUUUAAUAGGGCUUUAAAGCAGGGGGACAAAUAAGGACCUCACUGUGGUCAGAAGCAAAAUCCUCUUCUUCAUGAAACACAUUCUUUUCCAUUGGAUUCCGUGACCUGACAUUCUCUUGCUUUGACUCCUGCUCUCUAGGAGCUCCUCUUAAGUCUUCCUGGCAGGCUCGUGCUCCCCAGGCUGCCAUUAACUGUUGGAGCUCCUCCCUCAUCCACCACCCUCUUCUCUCCUCCCACUCUCUAACUGCUCCCUGGACAAGCUUGUCCAGGCCCAGGGAUUUGGUAACCACUCAUAUCACAAAUGAGGUUCCUAGUCCAGAGCUCCUGUCACAAAAGCCCAACUGCCUCUGAAUACACAACCUGACUGCCCCCUCAAAUUACAUGUAUCUGAAAUGUACUAAUUACCUUUUCUCAAACUUGAUCCUCCUCUUAUUGUAUAACCAGUUAUGAAGGCAAAACCCAUAUAUCUUCCUUGACACUUGCUUCUCUCUCACCCCAUAUCAAAUCCACCAAGUCUUUGUUAAUCCUUCUUUAGAAAGAUCUCUAAUACCUCUUCCCUCUUCCUCAUCUGCACACCAUGGUCUAAAGUGGUAACUCCUAACUGACCUUCACCAUUUCUUCCUAUUUUAUUAUCUGCUACAGGAAAUAGUGAUUUUUUUUAUACUGUAAAUCUCCUUUAAAUACUUUAAAGACUUCCAUUGCUCUCCCCAUCUGGCCCCUCUCUAGCUUUGGCUCACAGCACCCCUGUCAGUCUCCCCUUCCCACUCUCACUGGCCUUCUUCCAGUCCUCAGAAGCCACACUGCCUCCUGCCACUGCUGUUGCCUGCCCAGAACAGCCUUCGCUCACUUUGCCUGCUACUCCUCCAGAGUCAGGGCAGCCUGACUAGAUCAGGGCCCCUGUUACAUACUCUCACGGUUCCACCUACCUCCUUUUCCUGGCACUUGGCACAGUUAUAACUUUACUUUUAUUGGUUAAUUCUGUGAUCAGUGUUGAUCUUCUGCCUAGACUUGAUAAGUUCCAUGAUGGUUUUUAAAUCUCCCCCCGCCCUCCACUACCAUUUUCCCAGCGCUAAUGCUCAGGGUUUGGACUCCGGGGUAUUCUGCAAGGUGCUUGAGUGCAAUGGUGAGCGCCCAGAAUGCAGGAGGAGCUGCCUAGCUUCCUCGCCUGGGGAGGGCCUCAGCAGGAAAGUCACAGACCAGGGGUAGAGGGACCACAGCUGUCCACAAAGAGGAAGAGCGGACAAGCACCCUGGGGAGUAUCAUGGUCUGGGCGCGGGUUGGAAAAGAAUUUCCAGACAUGAGACAGAAUGAGAGGGAAAUAAUAUUUAUUAGAAUGGGAGUCACUGUUAGCGGGCCAGCUCAAUGGAGAACCAAUAUUUAACAGGAGUCCUUAGUCCACUUUUAUAGCCAGGGUACAAGGAGUGGGAUAUGGGGUCUUGUGGGUCAUUUGCUGUUUGGAUGAGGCAUGUAUACUUGGUAGGGGUAAGAGUAAGGCAAAUACCUUCUCCCUAUGGGGUAGGAAGGGAGACAGGGUAUACUGCUCAGGAGGACCUGAAAUUCAUUAAUAGUUAUAACUUGGGGGAGGGAAGGACGAUAAGGGUUUGGUUUCUCUGUUCCUGCAUUCCAAGACCCUCCUGGGUUUUAUCGGCACUUUCGUCCUUGGAUCACCACAGGGAGGCCAGGGCACCACAAAGUACUGUGUUUCAGACGCUGAUGGUAUGUUUCUGCUGCAUGACAGAACUAAGCUUUCAAGGUGAUACACUCAACUUUGUCUUCCCAAUAUUUUAAUAAAACCUUUAGACUAAAAAGAAAAAAAGAGAGAAAGAAAAGGCCAGGCUUGACAGCUGGAGCCAUCACCUCAAAGACUCGCAGAGGAGGCUGCCACUGUGAGCUGCAGGCACGUGGCUGGCACGGGGCAACACCGACCAGCUGCAAGUGCCCUGGCUGCGAUUCCUCCUGAGUGACAGCACCUCUCCGGCCCCGCCCUCUCUCUUCCUCUGCUCUGUCACUGGUCCUCUUGGGAGAGAAGCACCAAGGCAAGCACCUGGUCUGAACCGGCCCAAGCCUGAGACUGAGAAACCACACACAGGCCCUGGGUAACCGGGGGUCCAUUGCAAGAAAUGAGCCACACGGUUUGUGCAGAGCCGGGGGUUCUUUGCAUUUUCUCCUUGAUGCCACAGCCCAGCAGGCUUUUGCUAAGGGAGAGCUGCAGGCCCUCUGAGUGAGGUGGGGUUGACCUCACUGCACAGGGUGCUUUCUGACAGCAGGCAGGCUCAGGGUGUUUCUGCAACAACAAAGAACAUGACUGCCUCUUUAAAAGGUGCUAGGCAAGGACCUUACACUUCAGAGAAUAUUUCAGCAAGCAGACACGUUAAAUGUGGCUACAAGAGGGGAGGGAGGGGGUGUAUGUUAUAAUGAAGGCCCCAGAGGGAGCAUUAUUAGCUGUGCUCUUACAGCAGAUGGCAUUUGUUCUUAAAGAAUGCAUCAAUUCCUGACUCUGCCUUGGAAUCUGAAAACCAGCACCACCACCACCUCCCUCCAACCCCCCAGCUGUGAGGUUUUCAGGAAUGGAGAAGACUGAGGUGGAAGUCUAGCAAGGAGAAGGAGCCCUCCUGGGACAGCCAUUCCCGGAGCCCAGUUGGCUGCCCUUCCUCCUCUGAACCUAGCAGGGGAAGCACAGCCUCAGCCCUGAGGGGAGUGCCAGUCAGCCACAGCCCUCUUUCCCAGCCCUGGAGCCUGGCCUAAUGCCACUGAAAUUGCAAAGGCAUUUGAAGCAUACCUCCGUGGCUUGCAGCUCCUCACUUCUCUUUGGGAAUUUUCAACGUGGACGAGAUGGUAACCCUGGUGCAGAGGUGUGUGUGUGUGUGUAUGGUGUAAUGUAACUAUAGUUUGGGGGCAUGGUGCCUGGUAGGGAGGACCUGGGAAGAACAGUUGAAUGAAUGUCAUUACUACACAUUCCUGUCCUCACUGGACAAAAAAAUUACAAAGGUUUGGGAAUCAGAUUGUGUAAUCAAUAUCAUAUUUACUAUUCGACCAAGUUACUUAAGCUCCCGGAACCUGUUUCCACAUCUACAAAGUAUGAAUAAAUGAUAUCUAUCUCACGGGGCUUGUCUUAGGAGUCGGUCUGUGAGGAAGACAUCUGUGUGCAGAAAGUUCCUGGGAGAAUGCUUUCGUGGGCCAACACGUGGAGGGGAAGGCAAGGAGCAAGUCUUGCUCUCUCAAGACUCCUGUCUGGGACGAAGCCCUGGCCUCCUGGGAAGGCAGAUCAGCCUCUACCCCCAACCGCCUGCGCUGACUGCUGAUUUCUUGAAGGCUUUUUUUUGUCUCCACAGAUCCAUUAAUAAAAUGCAAAUUGCUUUUGAAGGGAA